UACGGAGGGCGCUAGCGUUGUUCGGAAUUACUGGGCGUAAAGCGCGCGUAGGCGGCUUUGUAAGUUAGAGGUGAAAGCCCGGGGCUCAACCCCGGAAUUGCCUUUAAGACUGCAUCGCUUGAAUCCGGGAGAGGUGAGUGGAAUUCCGAGUGUAGAGGUGAAAUUCGUAGAUAUUCGGAAGAACACCAGUGGCGAAGGCGGCUCACUGGACCGGUAUUGACGCUGAGGUGCGAAAGCGUGGGGAGCAAACAGG
rnacentral:rRNA from 1 species